GAUGAACGCUAGCUACAGGCUUAACACAUGCAAGUCGAGGGGCAGCAUGGUCUUAGCUUGCUAAGGCCGAUUGCGACCGGCGCACGUGUGAGUAACACGUAUCCAACCUGCCGUCUACUCUUGGACAGCCUUCUGAAAGGAAGAUUAAUACAAGAUUGCAUCAUGAGUCCGCAUGUUCACAUGAUUAAAGGUAUUCCGGUAGACGAUGGGGAUGCGUUCCAUUAGAUAGUAGGCGGGGUAACGGCCCACCUAGUCUUCGAUGGAUAGGGGUUCUGAGAGGAAGGUCCCCGACAGGGGAACUGAGACACGGUCCAAACUCAUACGGGAGGCAGCAGUGAGGAAGAUUGGUCAAGGGGCGCAGGCCUGAACCAGGCAAGUAGCGUGAAGGAUGACUGCCCUAUGGGUGAUAAACUUCUUUUAUAAAGGAAUAAAGUCGGGUAUGGAUACCCGUUUGAAUGUACUUGAUGAAUAAGGAUCGGCUAACUACGUG
rnacentral:rRNA from 1 species